AAAAAUUAAAACUCAGAAAAAAAAGGCAGACAAUUCUUCAUCAAUUAAACACCCCAAAUCCUUAUUUUUUUUCCCUAAUAUCGAAUUCCUCAUACCUCUUACCGUCGCCGGCAAGCAGCGCCUCCAAACUGGAAGAUAGUAGCUGGAAAAUUGCGAGCCCAGAAACUCCAAAAUAGCGGGACCUGUCAGUGGCUAAUUUCGUGACCUGUUCAUGACUGAGUUCGUGACCAUGGCUAGCUUUGAGCAUGAAUCUACAGGUAUUUGUUGAUUUUUUUAGACUCACAAACAUUGAAAUGCUUAUUAUUUGGGUUUUUUUAUUUUAUUUUAUUAAUGAAGGAGAUUUGCACGCCAUUUUAUCCCCAGUAGUAACCUGUAACUUGUUCAUCAUUAUCUAUAUUAAAAGUCAUUUUGUCCCAAAUUCACAACCUGCAUCUGUCUGUAGUUUAUUUUGCCUGUUGGAUUGGAACGGUUCAACCUUUGUCGUAGUUAGUUUAUCUGUAGUUUAUGGAUAUGUGGAUUUAUGUAUUUGUUUUUAUGAUUGUGGAUGAAGACCCUGAUUUUAAUGACUCGGACUACGAUGUAGAUGAUGAUGAUGAUUGCCUAUUUGAUCGUAAUGUGACCGAAGGCAUUGAAAUAGGUAUGCAUAUUGUGGAACACGAAGAACGCCAAGAAUUAGAUAGCUCUUCGUAUGCAUCGUGAGAGAAGUUAAACUUCUUAAGUGGUUUGGAUUCAGAGGGGAAUAGUGGUAGACCUAAUUUUCCAGAAUAUUUUGCUAGUAGUG
rnacentral:lncRNA from 1 species